CUGCUCAGGACGAACGCUGGCGGCGUGCUUAACACAUGCAAGUCGAGCGGUAAGGCCUUUCGGGGUACACGAGCGGCGAACGGGUGAGUAACACGUGGGUGAUCUGCCCUGCACUCUGGGAUAAGCUUGGGAAACUGGGUCUAAUACCGGAUAUGACCGCAUGCCGCAUGGUGUGUGGUGGAAAGAUUUAUCGGUGCAGGAUGGGCCCGCGGCCUAUCAGCUUGUUGGUGGGGUAAUGGCCUACCAAGGCGACGACGGGUAGCCGACCUGAGAGGGUGACCGGCCACACUGGGACUGAGACACGGCCCAGACUCCUACGGGAGGCAGCAGUGGGGAAUAUUGCACAAUGGGCGGAAGCCUGAUGCAGCGACGCCGCGUGAGGGAUGAAGGCCUUCGGGUUGUAAACCUCUUUCAGCAGGGACGAAGCGUGAGUGACGGUACCUGCAGAAGAAGCACCGGCUAACUACGUGCCAGCAGCCGCGGUAAUACGUAGGGUGCGAGCGUUGUCCGGAAUUACUGGGCGUAAAGAGUUCGUAGGCGGUUUGUCGCGUCGUUUGUGAAAACCCGGGGCUCAACUUCGGGCUUGCAGGCGAUACGGGCAGACUUGAGUGUUUCAGGGGAGACUGGAAUUCCUGGUGUAGCGGUGAAAUGCGCAGAUAUCAGGAGGAACACCGGUGGCGAAGGCGGGUCUCUGGGAAACAACUGACGCUGAGGAACGAAAGCGUGGGUAGCAAACAGGAUUAGAUACCCUGGUAGUCCACGCCGUAAACGGUGGGCGCUAGGUGUGGGUUCCUUCCACGGGAUCUGUGCCGUAGCUAACG
rnacentral:rRNA from 1 species